UACAGAGGGUGCAAGCGUUAAUCGGAAUUACUGGGCGUAAAGCGUGCGUAGACGGUCAUGUAAGUCGGGUGUGAAAGCCCCGGGCUCAACCUGGGAAUUGCAUUCGAGACUGCAUGGCUAGGAUGCGGAAGAGGGAAGCGGAAUUUCCGGUGUAGCGGUGAAAUGCGUAGAGAUCGGCAGGAACACCCAGGGGGAAACCAGUCGACUGGGCAUCUACUGACGCUGAGGUGCGAGAGCGUGGGGAGCGAACCGG
rnacentral:rRNA from 1 species